CUCCUGGGGACACAGAACACAGCACAUUGUAACUACAGCAAUAGACUCAACUGCGAAAGAUCUCUAUCAGGCAUCACAGAGAAUCUGAGGCAGCUGGCAGUUAUCAGCUGAAGCAGAUCUUUGAUUGAAAAUGACUGUGGACAAUUCACUAAUGGUGGCAGAAAUGACAAGAGAAUUUGCAGCUGGCAGGUUUACAAAACAAAAUCAAAAACCCCAAAGAACAAGCAAAGUAUGUGGAUGUACUUAUGAGCACUGUACCAAAAUGUUUUUGAAGUUUACUCGGAGCAGUUGCAGAAGGAUCUAGUGACGGGUUCAUAAAAUGGCAGAUGAAAUUCAGUACCAAUAACUACAAAGUAAUGCACAUGGAAAGAAAAACAGUCGUAAUUAUACAAGCACACUGGCAUGCUUCAGUGUGACUAUUUCCAUUUGGAAAGAGAUCUUGUGGGCUUUUUGGUUAGUUCUCUGACAGCCUGAACUUGAUGCUCAGUAGCAGUUAUAAAACAGUUGCACUAAUAUAAAUUAUUAGGAAAAGAAUGAAGAGCAAAACAGAAAACAUAAUUAUACCAUUGUAUAAAACUGAAGUGCUGGCAAAGCUUAAAUAUUUCGUGAAUUUCUGGAAAUUCAAACACUCAAACCCCCUUAAACCUGGAGAAAGUACGGAGAGGGAUGUGUACUAUGAUGAGAGAUAUCUGAAGGACACUGUAUUCAACAUUCUGGUCUCUUUCACUGUUGGUUUUCUUGCUGUUCUCCCUCCAAACCUUUCCACAGCUGCAGUAGUCACUUUCUUACUGGAGUGGCAUGGCUUCUCCUCUACAGUGCCAGAGCAAUGUCAUUGCAGAGAAAUGUUAAGCAAGAAACUGAACAGAAGAUUAAAAACAAGAGUGAUUACAGGAUGCCUUACCAUCUCACAGUUACUAGAGAUGCUAAGGAGGAAUUGCUGAGAGAAGAUAAACAGGUUUUCCCUCUCCCAGAAGCUCUGUUACAAAGGACAGCAAAUAGAGCACAUUACUGGAGAAUCCUACACUUGCCUCUGUACUGGGUACUAUAG
rnacentral:lncRNA from 1 species